GAAACCUACGGGGGGCAGCAGUCGGGAAUAUUGCGCAAUGGAGGAAACUCUGACGCAGUGACGCCGCGUAUAGGAAGAAGGUUUUCGGAUUGUAAACUAUUGUCGUUAGGGAAGAAAAAGGACAGUACCUAAGGAGGAAGCUCCGGCUAACUACGUGCCAGCAGCCGCGGUAAUACGUAGGGAGCAAGCGUUAUCCGGAAUUAUUGGGUGUAAAGGGUGCGUAGACGGGAAUAUAAGUUAGUUGUGAAAUCCCUCGGCUCAACUGAGGAACUGCAACUAAAACUAUAUUUCUUGAGUGCAGGAGA
rnacentral:rRNA from 1 species